UAGAACACAGGUAGCCAGAGAUACGAA
rnacentral:sRNA from 1 species